CCUACGGGGGGCAGCAGUGGGGAAUAUUGGGCAAUGGGCGCAAGCCUGACCCAGCAACGCCGCGUGAAGGAAGAAGGCUUUCGGGUUGUAGACUUCUUUUAUCAGGGACGAAGCAAGUGACGGUACCUGAUGAAUAAGCCACGGCUAACUACGUGCCAGCAGCCGCGGUAAUACGUAGGUGGCAAGCGUUAUCCGGAUUUACUGGGUGUAAAGGGCGUGUAGGCGGGAGGGCAAGGCAGAUGGGAAAACUAUGGGCUCAACCCAUAGCCGGCAUUUGAAACUGGACUUCUUGAGUGCUGGCGAGG
rnacentral:rRNA from 1 species